UAGUUGCUACCAUUACUCUCUGGAGCAGUGGAGCGAAUUAGACGGACCGCCACAGUUAAUGUGGAGGAAGGAAGGGGCCACGGCAGGUCAGUAUGCCCCGAAACCCUAGGGCUACACGCGGGCUGCAAUGGUAUUGACAAUGUGUUCCGAAUCCGAAAGGAGGAGGCAAUCAUCAAACAAUAUCUCAGUUAUGACUGAGGGCUGUAACUCGCCCUCACGAAUAUGGAAUCCCUAGUAACCGCGCGUCACUACCGCGCGGUGAAUACGUCCCUGCUCCUUGCACGAAUUCGCCG
rnacentral:rRNA from 1 species